UACAGAGGUCUCAAGCGUUGUUCGGAUUCAUUGGGCGUAAAGGGCGUGUAGGUGGCGCGCUAAGUCGGGUGUGAAAUUUCGGAGCUUAACUCCGAAACUGCAUUCGAUACUGGCGUGCUUGAGGACUGGAGAGGAGACUGGAAUUCAUGGUGUAGCAGUGAAAUGCGUAGAUAUCUGGAGGAACACCGGUGGCGAAGGCGGCAUCCUGGACCGGCAUUGACGCUGAGGAGCGAAAGCCAGGGGAGCAAACGGG
rnacentral:rRNA from 1 species